rnacentral:rRNA from 1 species
AUGUCCAUCAGAUCUCUCAUCGCCGCGGCCAGGUCCAGCCAUGCCCUCGCCACUGCUACCAUCUCCCAGGCGGCCUCCAGGGCGCACCAGCACGCCGGUGUGCCUCCGCUGCUCUCGAGGCUUGCACCACUAGCCCGCGCCUUCAGCUCAAGCCCUGCAGCAGCGGAUGUCGCUUCAGAUGUCCCUGUCAUGGAAGUGCAGAAACGGCGGGUGGGCAAAAAGGCCAAGGGCGCGAAAAGCGGAAAAGCCAUGAUGUUCCCACUCCAUUUCCACUACGAAGAUGUGUUGCGUGAGGAUCUGUUGCUCAAACUUAACCACACCAACACCAUGGAGGUCCCUGGGUUGUUUGAGAUCAGACUGGUGCCCAAGUCUACCACGGGUGCCAAAAUCCAGUUUGGGAAACUGGCCAUGGAGAUUCUGUGCGGCCAGAGAUGCAUACAGGCGGAGCUGCCUGCCCAUCUGAAAGGAAAGGCGACCAACGCAUACCUGGGGUCCCAGAAGGACGCCGUGUCCCUGAGGCAGAGCAUCAUCCGUGGGCACGGCAUGUACAACUUCCUGGUAAGGGUCCUGACAGUGAUGUCCAUGUUGGAUUCCAAGGUGGCGAUCGAGCAGGGGAACUGCGUAAAGUUCUUCAUGGCCACGGAGUUCUGCGAGUUCUCCCCCGAGAUAGAGGACCACUUCGAGAUCUUUGAGACCAUCGGAGGGUUCAACGUGACCAUCGUCACCACGGCCUGCUCGAAGGAGGAGACCUCGCUGCUGUGGAGCGGCUUCUUGCUCAAGGAUGAAGGUGAGAUCAGCUAA